rnacentral:rRNA from 1 species
GACAGAGGGUGCAAACGUUGUUCGGAAUUACUGGGCGUAAAGCGCGUGUAGGCGGCCCGGAAAGUCGGAUGUGAAAGCCCUGGGCUUAACCCAGGAAGUGCAUUCGAAACUCCCGGGCUUGAGUUCUGGAGAGGAAGGCGGAAUUCUCGGUGUAGAGGUGAAAUUCGUAGAUAUCGAGAGGAACACCGGUGGCGAAGGCGGCCUUCUGGACAGUGACUGACGCUGAGACACGAAAGCGUGGGGAGCAAACAGG